CCUACGGGAGGCAGCAGUAGGGAAUGUUGCGCAAUGGGCGAAAGCCUGACGCAGCAACGCCGCGUGAACGAGACGCUCUUCGGGGUGGAAAGUUCUGUAAGUGGGGACGAAAAAUGACGGUACCCACAGAGGAAGCACCGGCUAACUCCGUGCCAGCCGCCGCGGUAAUACGGAGGGGGCACGCGUUGUCCGGAAGCAUGGGGCGUAAAGGGUUCGUAGGCGGCAUGUAAAGUCAGUGGUUAAAGGCGCGGGCUCAACCUGUGUAUGGCACUUGAUACUUGCAAGCUGGAGUGCGGUAGAGGUAAGGGGAAUUCCUGGUGUAGCGGUGAAAUGCUUAGAUAUCAGGAGGAACAUCGGUGGCGUAGGCGCUUUACUGGGCCGUAAUUGACGCUGAGGAACGAAAGCCAGGGUAGCAAAUAGGAUUAGAUACCCCAGUAGUC
rnacentral:rRNA from 1 species